rnacentral:rRNA from 1 species
UGGGGAAUAUUGCACAAUGGGGGAAACCCUGAUGCAGCGACGCCGCGUGAGCGAAGAAGUAUUUCGGUAUGUAAAGCUCUAUCAGCAGGGAAGAAAUGACGGUACCUGACUAAGAAGCCCCGGCUAACUACGUGCC